AGCGAACGCUGGCGGCAGGCUUAACACAUGCAAGUCGAACGCGCGUAGCAAUACACGAGUGGCGCACGGGUGAGUAACGCGUGGAUAUCUGCCUUUUGGUUCGGAAUAACUCCGGGAAAUUGGAGCUAAUACCGGAUGGUUCCUUCGGGAUAAAGAUUUAUCGCCAAAAGAUGAGUCCGCGUACGAUUAGCUAGUUGGUGAGGUAAUGGCUCACCAAGGCGACGAUCGUUAGCUGGUCUGAGAGGACGAUCAGCCACACUGGGACUGAGACACGGCCCAGACUCCUACGGGAGGCAGCAGUGGGGAAUAUUGGACAAUGGGCGCAAGCCUGAUCCAGCCAUGCCGCGUGAGUGAUGAAGGCCUCGGUUGUAAGACUCUUUGUCGGGACGGAGUGAUGACGGUACCC
rnacentral:rRNA from 1 species